rnacentral:rRNA from 1 species
UACGGAGGGAGCUAGCGUUGUUCGGAAUUACUGGGCGUAAAGCGCGCGUAGGCGGCUUUGUAAGUUAGAGGUGAAAGCCCGGGGCUCAACUCCGGAACUGCCUUUAAGACUGCAUCGCUUGAAUCCGGGAGAGGUGAGUGGAAUUCCGAGUGUAGGGGUGAAAUUCGUAGAUAUUCGGAAGAACACCAGUGGCGAAGGCGGCUCACUGGACCGGUAUUGACGCUGAGGUGCGAAAGCGUGGGGAGCAAACAGG